AGGAGCGCCUGGAGAUGACGGACACCUUCAAGCAGCAGAAGGUGCGGUUGGCGCAGGAGGGCUUCAACCCCUCCUCCAUCCCUGACCCCCUGUUCCUGCUGGACCAGAGCUCCAAGGCCUACGUGCCCCUGGGCCCUGCGCAAUGGGAGGGGGUCCUGGAUGGGAGCAUCCGCAUUUAGGGGGCCCCAAGCCCAUGGGGAGGUCCUGCACAGGGUGCCCCGUGGGCUCUCCAUGGCCAUCCCUGGGUACCCAGCAUCCAUCCCUGGGUACCAGUGUCCAUCCCUGGGUACCCAACGUCCAUCCCUGGGUACCCAGCAUCCAUCCCUGGGUACCCAGCAUCCAUCCCUGGGUACCAGUUGUCCAUCCCUGGGUACCCAACGUCCAUCCCUGGGUACCAGUGUCCAUCCAUGGGUACCCAACAUCCAUCCCUGGGUACCCAACAUCCAUCCCUGGGUACCCAGCAUCCAUUCCUGGGUACUCAGCAUCCAUCCCUGGGUACUCAACGUCCAUCCCUGGGUACCCAGCAUCCAUCCCUGGGUACUCAGCAUCCAUCCCUGGGUACCCAACAUCCGUCCCUAGGUACCCAAUGUCCAUCCCUGGGUACCCACAUCCAUCCCUCAGUACCCAAUGUCCAUCCUGUAGGUCCCCACAUCC